rnacentral:rRNA from 1 species
CCUACGGGAGGCAGCAGUGGGGAAUUUUGGACAAUGGGCGCAAGCCUGAUCCAGCAAUGCCGCGUGAGUGAAGAAGGCCUUCGGGUUGUAAAGCUCUUUUGUCAGGGAAGAAACGGUGGAGGCUAAUAUCCUUUGCUAAUGACGGUACCUGAAGAAUAAGCACCGGCUAACUACGUGCCAGCAGCCGCGGUAAUACGUAGGGUGCAAGCGUUAAUCGGAAUUACUGGGCGUAAAGCGUGCGCAGGCGGUUUUGUAAGUUUGUCGUGAAAUCCCCGGGCUCAACCUGGGAAUGGCGAUGAAGACUGCAAGGCUAGAAUCUGGCAGAGGGGGGUUAGAAUUCCACGUGUAGCAGUGAAAUGCGUAGAGAUGUGGAGGAACACCGAUGGCGAAGGCAGCCCCCUGGGUCAAGAUUGACGCUCAUGCACGAAAGCGUGGGGAGCAAACAGGAUUAGAUACCCUGGUAGUCCACGCCCUAAACGAUGUCUACUAGUUGUCGGGUUUUAAUUAACUUGGUAACGCAGCUAACGCGUGAAGUAGCCGCCUGGGGAUCGGUGCAGNUAAACUNAAGAUG